GUCAGUGGCGGACGGGUGAGUAACGCGUAGGUAUCUGUCCUUGGGUGGGGGAUAACCGUGGGAAACUGCGGCUAAUACCGCAUAUGUCCUGAGGGGCAAAGGCCUGAGAGGGUCGCCUGAGGGUGAGCCUGCGUCCGAUUAGCUGGUUGGUGGGGUAAUGGCCUACCAAGGCGAUGAUCGGUAGCUGGUCUGAGAGGAUGGUCAGCCACACUGGGACUGAGACACGGCCCAGACUCCUACGGGAGGCAGCAGUGGGGAAUAUUGGACAAUGGGCGAAAGCCUGAUCCAGCAAUGCCGCGUGGGUGAAGAAGGUCUUCGGAUUGUAAAGCCCUUUCGGCGGGGACGAUGAUGACGGUACCCGCAGAAGAAGCCCCGGCUAACUUCGUGCCAGCAGCCGCGGUAAUACGAAGGGGGCUAGCGUUGCUCGGAAUGACCGGGCGUAAAGGGCGCGUAGGCGGCUCUCAUCGUCGGGCGUGAAAUUCCUGGGCUUAACCUGGGGGCUGCGUUCGAUACGUGGGGGCUUGAAUGUGGGAGAGGGUCGUGGAAUCCCAGUGUAGAGGUGAAAUUCCUAGAUAUUGGG
rnacentral:rRNA from 1 species